CCCUUCCCCAAUGGCAUCUUCAGGCUGAGAAGCAUCAAAGAGAGUGAGCAACUGUCUCGAGCCUUAGAAGGAAAAAAGGCAGGGAGAGAAGAAGGAAAAAGCAAUUCUCUUCAAGAAUUUCAUGGUGGCAUUCUCUCCAACUGCUUCUCCCAUGGACCAGAAAUCAUACCUAAUUCAGAGAGUAACUUUUGGAUGAAGGAAAAAAAAAGCAAGGAGAGGAACGUCAGUGGCUUUUGUUGUUGUUUUUCUCCACUAUUUGCACAACCACUAGAGGGCUUCAUCAUGCUCUUGGUUCUGGAGCAAUUUGGUUGAAGAAUGGGCUGAAGGUUGGAUUUCUUGUCCCCAUUUCCAUUCCUCCAUGCUCCAGGAGGAAGGGGCGCAUGCUGC
ensembl:lncRNA